rnacentral:rRNA from 1 species
AACUUUUAACAACGGAUCUCUUGGCUCUCGCAUCGAUGAAGAACGCAGCGAAAUGCGAUAAGUAAUGUGAAUUGCAGAAUUCAGUGAAUCAUCGAAUCUUUGAACGCACCU